UAUCUCUGUAGAGUCUGCAUAUCAAUAAGCGGAGGAAAAGAAACUAACUAGGAUUCCCUUAGUAACGGCGAGUGAAGCGGGAAGAGCUCAAAUCUGAAAUCUUCAAGGUUACUACCUUGACGAAUUGUAGUUUAAAGAAGUGUUUUCUGUUGGAGUUUCGGUAAAAGUUCUUUGGAAUAGGACAUCAUAGAGGGUGAGAAUCCCGUAUUUGACCAGUUAUUUUCAGCUUUGUGAUACACUUUCAAAGAGUCGGAUUGUUUGGGAAUGCAGUCCAAAAUGGGUGGUAAAUUUCAUCUAAAGCUAAAUAUUGGCGAGAGACCGAUAGCGAACAAGUACCGUGAGGGAAAGAUGAAAAGAACUUUGAAAAGAGAGUUAAACAGUACGUGAAAUUGUCAAAAGGGAAGCGUUUGACACCAGUGUUGUUUUUCUCGAAAAUCAAUUAAGAAUGGCUUGAUUUUGUGUUGUAUUGACCUUAUCAGCUUUCUGCACUUUUUUUGCAUGUCUUUUUUAAUGCACUUUUUCGGUUAACAAGUCAACAUCAAUUUCUUUUGUUGUAAAAGAGUCAUUGGAAGGUGGCUUUCUUUUCGGAGAAAGUGUUUAUAGCCCUAUACUUCUACAAUCGGAGAGAUUGAGGUCUGCAGCGUAGAUCCUUCGGGGUUAGAUACACUUUGUGCUAAGUUGUAGCUUUUCAUAGACAACUUGUUGACUAUGUUUAGUCAUGCGGCUUACUCGCUUGUGCUAUUUUACCUACGCUUAGGAUGUUGAAGAUGUAGCACAUCAU
rnacentral:rRNA from 1 species